rnacentral:rRNA from 1 species
CGAAGCCUACGGGACGCAGCAGUGGGGAAUAUUGCACAAUGGGGGGAACCCUGAUGCAGCGACGCCGCGUGGGCGAUGGAGUAUUUCGGUAUGUAAAGCCCUAUCGGCAGGGAAGAAGCUGACAGUACCUGACUAAGAAGCCCCGGCUAACUACGUGCCAGCAGCCGCGGUAAUACGUAGGGGGCAAGCGUUAUCCGGAUUCACUGGGCGUAAAGGGAGCGCAGGCGGCAUGGCAAGCCUGGUGUGAAAACCCGGGGCCCAACCCCGGGAGUGCAUUGGGGACUGCCGCGCUA